rnacentral:rRNA from 1 species
AUGCCUGUGUACUGGUUGUUGCUGGACUCUGGGGACGCUUCCAAUCUUGUCAAAACAUCUUGCAGACAGAGCUUGCAAGCUUUUGUUGCUGGGAACAGUCCUCUCGUCAGGAUAUAUUCUUCAUACAGUACUUACUAUGGGUCUGAAUGCCUUCGUGGUACUGCCUGGCAGACGUUACCUCAAACGCUUCUAUAUGGAAUUAGUGGGCGACGAAGUGGAGAAAGGCGAACAUCAAUGAGCUGCACCUUUUCCUGUUCUCUCCCCCGUAUUCUUCCCCUCCAUCUGUCUCUUUCUAGGAGGGUGGAGGAUGGAUUGUCGUUGUGUUAUGCUCCAGCAAUAGUUGACAUUGAUUAG